rnacentral:rRNA from 1 species
GACGAACGCUGGCGGCGUGCUUAACACAUGCAAGUCGAGCGAGAUUCAACCGGUGGCAACACCGGGGAAGAUCGAGCGGCGAACGGGUGAGUAACACGUGAGCAACCUGCCCCGAAGACUGGGAUAACACCGGGAAACCGGUGCUAAUACCGGAUACCCCCACCAGGCCGCAUGACCAGGUGAGGAAACGAAUUUCGCUUCGGGAGGGGCUCGCGGGCUAUCAGCUUGUUGGUGGGGUAACGGCCUACCAAGGCGACGACGGCUAGCUGGUCUGAGAGGACGACCAGCCACACUGGGACUGAGACACGGCCCAGACUCCUACGGGAGGCAGCAGUGGGGAAUCUUGCGCAAUGGGCGAAAGCCUGACGCAGCAACGCCGCGUGGGGA